rnacentral:lncRNA from 1 species
GUAAAAUGCAGUUUUCAUGAAAAUUGUCACUGGUGUUACUGUCACUGGUGUCACCUUCCUUAUGGGUAACACCAGUGAAGAUCAGUAACACCAGUGACUCCCAAUUAUAGAUAAACUUUGUUCAAAGCUAUUCAUUUAGUUAUUUUGCAUAAAAUAGCACUAAAAUUGUGAUUCUAACUUUUCUUUGUCAUUGUUAAUCCUCCUUUGGUCAUGUAUUUCUAAAUUGAGGGUAUGGCUAAACUGAGCGCAGCUGAGAAACAGCGACUAUACAGAAAGCGUAGGGAUGCUGAUCCUGAACGCAGAGCAGAGUAUUUGCAGAAAAGGAAACAGAGCUAUGUCCAUGACAUUGACACACAAAAAAGAAAGAGAGUAAGUAAUUUGAGUGAAAGGGAGAAGAGAUAUGAGCGAAAGGCAUGGAGGGCCCGUCAGCAAAAAAAAAGUUUUUGUGAAAAGUGUGUUCAUCCCAUAGGUGUAAUGGUUUUUAUACUGUAUAAACUGUAUAUUCUAUCGCCAUUCACCAACCCUACACCUAACCCUAACCCUCACAGGAAACUUUCUCAAAAAAACUCAUUCUGUACGAUUUAUAUGCAUUUUGAAAAAUAGGGACAUGGGUUAUGUUCUCAUAAGUCACCCUCUCCUUGUAAUACCUGUGUCAUACCCAUGUCAUUAUACAGAGUUGUGUCCUGAUAUGAUACAGAAACAAGGGCACUCUCUCUCUCUCUCACACACACACACUCUCUCUAUCUCUCACACACACACUCAAGCUAGGGUUAAAUGAGUGAGAACUUUUUUUCAAGAAAAUAUUUUGCUUUACAGACAACUACAACAAGGGAGGAGACAACGUAGGAGAGAUGCACAAAGAAAACAAAGGGAAAUAGAGAAACUGAAAGACAAGAUCAUCGGUUAGAAACGAAGAUAUGAAAUGGUCCUUUAGAUUCUGACACUGUGGUGCUCACCCUUACCCCAUGUGCGGAGGAAAAUGAAUCUGACACUGUGGUGCUCACCCUUACCCCAUGUGCGGAGGAAAAUGAAACUGUGUGUGAGGAAUCUGCUGGACCAGUUGCUGCAGUUACAGAAUCCACAAUGGAUGUUGCUGAGUGUGAAGACAUGGCACAAACAACAUUCAGUGGUGAUUUGGUUCAGCCCUCAGAGCACGUCAAGGACACCAAAAACACAGAAGUUGUCGCAAAAAAGAAAGGGAGAAGAAGUUGUCAAAAGACACGUACUGUCAGGACUCGGGUCUGCCAUGCGAGGAAUGUGCAGAGCGGACAUCGUCCGGAAACUUUCUUUAUUCAAAGAUCCUAAAAACAAGAGGGGAUCUGGUAAGUUAUUGAUUCUUCUAUUUCAUAAAGAUUUUUUUUUUUUUGUGGGGGUGGUAUUUUUUAUGACAGUAUGUUCUUUUUUAAAUAAAAUCCCCAAAUCCGGAAACCCAAUCUGCUUUUGGUUCAUAAAAUAUACAUUUUGCAUAAUAAAUGUCAGUAAGACAUUUAAAGUGAUUGUUCGGAGUUAG